CGGUGCGAGUAAGCAUACGAGUCGAUCUAGUCAGUUACUGCAGUGCAGCUACUCACACCGUGUGAACACAUCAUUCCAGUUAGUGUCAUGUGUGAUUCGGCGUGCGAGCUACUUCAAAGUUUUUUGAAUUUACUCGCACUCGCAUCCCUCAAAACGUCAAAAACAGAAUUUAGCGCUCGAAUCAGGGAUGCCAAAUCUUUACAUUGUCUUGACAUGUCUCUAUUUUUAAGAUAUUUGAAAAUGUGCGAAGAUAUUUAUAGAUUUGAAAAUUAUUGGAAAACUAAUACGUUUUCUUUUUGAGAUAACUUUAUUGGGAAUCUGAAUAUAAAAUCAUUAUCGGGCACAAUUUUCAUUCAGAAUUCACUCACAACUUGCAAAAAAAAGUAUUGUUCUAAGAAACAGAAUACAUAAUCGAUAUAAAAAAGUAGAUUUUCCUUCAUUAUUUUAGUUUUCGAGGCGUAUUUGUUCCUUCUGCAAAUCUACUAUCAUUUUCAUUUUCCUCAUCUGACAAAUUCGGACCUGAUUGCUGUUUCUGACUAUUUGAUGAACAUUUGAAAAAUCGUCUGGCAUCUCUGGUAAACCCGUGCCGUAGUAUCUAGUUUCUUGCCAGCAGCUCACAUUGUGUGAACGGACAAGGCGAGUCAACCAUUUGUCAAGCGAGUUCACCGGGUCAGUAGCUGCUCAUUGUGAAGUCAGCUACUAGCAACGUAUAAAUGGACCUAUAGUUUCUGUUUUUGAAUAGCGACCCGCCAAGGCGCUAUACUAUAGGUGGACCGCAAUGUCAAAAUUGCUGUUCGGCCAUUGCUCGUGAAAAAACAAAUUUGUUUACAAAACAUAUCAUAUCUUUUGGUGACAAAUGCAUUCGUCGGCAAAAUAGCUGCUCGCGCUUUACUGUAGAUAUCUACAAUCAGCGGUCGAAUUAAAAACAGUGCAGAAGGAUGUUUUGAGUAUAUUUUAGCUUCUAGCCGCGCAAUCAAUGCUUUUCUUUCCAAGCAAGAUGUACUUCUGUUUGGCUCCUAUCGGCGGGGAAAAAAGUACUUACGGCGACGGUGACAAGAAAUAACGCUGAUUGCUAGAUUACCAGAUCCAGAAGAUCCGGAAGGGCUGUUACAAGUAUUUGGUUUUGCUAGAGCAAAAGGAGGUUGACAAUGAUUGCAACAGGUGAAAUAAACUGUUGAUCGAAGUGGAAUCACGAUUAUCGAUCCCGCCAGAAGAUCCGGAAAGAGUUGUUAAAAGUAAUUGGUUUUGCUUAAAUGCUAGAGCACAAGGAGGUUGACAAUGAUUGCAACAGGAAAAUAACCAGUAGCAGCUGGUAUGGCCUCUUAAACAAUGUUGAAUAAAAUAGCAGAACUACUGAAAAGUGUAAUCAAAAGCAGUCUUCACAGUCACUGUCUUCACUUCAGAAGACAGUAAGCGGGAUAUACUGGAUUAUUUAUUUCCAUUUACCUCAACGUGUAUUAGGACAUGAUAAAAAAUCUAGAAUAGAAAUUAGUCAUUAGGUAUAUAUAAUCGUACAAAGGCAAAGGUUUUGAUUUACUUCAGAAUUUCCGAAUUAAUGAACUUAUAGAGGGCGUCAACUACCUUGAAAAACCUUGAAAAUCAGGGAAUUCAAACAAUGUCAGAGAAUUUCAUCACCAAUCUGGAAAAAAUCAAAUUCCGCGAAUUUGAAUUUUGAUUAUUGCUAUAAUUAGAAAUAUAAUGAUACCAAAAAAGUUGUA